CGAGAUCGAGAAAAUGUAUCGGCAAUUCCUCGUACGACCAGAGGAUCGGAAAUAUCAAAGGAUAUUAUGGCGCAGCGCGAGUGGAGAAACAGAAACAUAUGAGCUUAACACCGUAAUACUCUUAUCAUAGAAAUAGAAGCAGUCCUCAAUUCCCGCCCGCUAACUCCUAUCUCCACCGAUCCAAAUGAUCUCCUAGCCCUCACUCCCGGACAUUUCCUCAUUGGCGAUUCAUUAAUGUGCUUACGUGAUCGAGAUUUCAGAGACAUUCCAUCGAACCGACUCUCCAAAUGGCAGCAUAUCCAACAGCUUAAACAACAUUUUUGGAACCGCUGGCAUAAGGAGUAUUUGAACGAGCUAACCAACCGCAAUAAAUGGAGCAAGGGUGGACACAGCAUCCAAAAGGGCACAAUCGUCAUCCUCAGAGAGGACAACGUUCCCUCCAUGCAUUGGCCUCUGGGCCGAGUUAUCAAGGUUCAUUCAGGCGCCGAUGGUGUCAUCCGGACAGCUACAGUUCAGACGGCAAAGAGCAUUUUGGAUCGGGGCGUCAAAAGGCUUGUCCCACUGCCAAUUCAACCCGAUCUCGAGAAACCCGAACAACUAGCCACCGAGCCGAAAUAAGAUGGGAACUUCAACCACACCUCGCUAGUUUGAUCGGUACCCUCUCAACGGGGGGAGAAUGUUACGCCAUGCGGCUUACCAUAGGUCAUAUUCUUAACUAUCGAUCGCGGCACUAUAAUGUCGCAGACGGAUCGUCGCGUCUGCCCGGCAAACAAACAUUGUAGUGGCAAGCGCAUGGUUCAUUAAGCAGGGCGACUUCCAGAAACGUCGACUCGUGGCCCGUAUUUUACCUCGCAGUAAAAGAAUGUGGCGUGAUCCGAACGUAGUGGGGGUCGCCUUCCAGAAAAAACGAAAAAAAUCGAAAGGCGUUCAGAACUUUUCGAGAAGUCGAACCGUCAACACAUGUGGGCAAUCCGGUGGACUUGAUCGGCUUUUUACUUCGAAAGUUGAGUAAUCGGUGUCGCUUUCUUACGCAUCUUUGAACUGUAUAAAUGUUUUAAAAUUGUUUGAUCCAGAAUGUACCACACCGGACAAUCAAGAAGGCAGGUGCCUUGACUACAGAAAAUGUAAACCUCUGCAAGAAAUAUGGCAGAUACAGUACCGUACAGCCACCGAUUUUUAUAGACGAUCAGUGUGCAGAUACCAGGUCAAUGUUACGAUCGUUUGCUGUCCGAACGAUCCAAACAAAGAGAAGAGAGAAAUUUUAAUAAAAACUGUGUAUAAGUAUAAGGCUUUGCGACCACCAUACUGUGGUUUUAGCAACGUCUCUCAUACCAGGGUGGUCGAUGGUAAACCAGCUGAACUUGGCGCUUGGCCAUGGAUCGCUGCAUUAGGUUUUCGUAAUCCCCGAAACCCAGACAAACCACUAUGGAAGUGCGGAGGUUCCCUGAUAUCGGCUAGGCAUGUUUUGACCGCAGCACAUUGUGCACAUAUGGAUGGAAUAGAAAACAUACACAAUCAUAAUAUUGCCAUUCUUAGAUAGGUGGAGGAGGUGCCAUUUUCGAGUAAGUCCUCAAAUAUAUAUAUAUAUAUGCUAUUGAGUAUUACUGAAGUAUCAUAUCCUGAAAUUUCUUACUGUACACAUAUAUUGUGUCAUAAAGCGUGUACAAUUCUUUCUCAUACUUUUGGUCAUUCGUUUCCUGCAUUUUCAUUUAUUUUUUUAUUUUUCAGGGUACGUAUAUCCCAUUUGUACGAAAGAGCAACUUCGUCGGCUAUAACCCCCUUGUUGCUGGAUGGGGAGCGUUAAGAUAUAGCAAGUGAUAUCAAUUUUAUAAUAAAAUUAAACAGUUCCAGUCUUAAAUAUCUUUCUCAUUUUCUUCGUAGGACGACCACGACCUAAUGCAUUAAUGGAAGUACAAAUGCCAGUGAUUAAGAACGCCGAAUGCAAAAUAGCUUAUUCCAAAUUUCCUAAUGCACCUGAUAUCACUGAUGGUAUAAUAUGCGCCGAACAUGCUCAGGGUGGAGAGGAUUCUUGUACGGUAUUGUGUCUUAUGCUUAUAAGUGUGGCACAGCUGGGUAUCCCAGCGUUUACACUAGGGUCACAUCGUACCUUGACUUCAUUCUCCAAGCGAUGCAAUAAUAUGAUAUUACUGUUCCAUAAAUAUCAUUGUGUAAAAAACGUAAAGUUGGAUUUUCUUAUUGUGGAGAUAAGAAACAGCUCAAAUUUACAUUGUUUUGUACGUUACAAAUUAUAGGCUUAAAAUGUACGAAAUGUAACUUUGAAACGACACUAAUUUUUUACGCACGAUAAACCUCCACGACUUAGAUUAUAGAUUCCUAUACGACUCUCAGUAAAAAUUUAUCCGCACUCCAGAUAUAUAAAACUUCUGUCGACCGUAUUGAUCCAUCUGCACUCUUCGUAUGACGUCAAUAUCUGUUCAGUGCUGCUGCGCAGGUUUCUUUGUGUUACGUCAAUUCGUUUGUGACCGUUGCGCGAGUAAUGGCGCUUUGCAAUGGUGAUUUGCAGGAAAACAGUGCAGGAUGCUGUGAUUCGUUUCUUGUGGUCGGAGGUUAUGUUUGAUGCCUAUAUUUAUCAAAGAUUUAAUGCACAUUAUGGAGAAAGUGUUUUGUCACGAAGUGUGUUUGAAUGGGCACAAAAGUUCAAAGAAGAUCGCACAAGUGUUAUGAAAAAACAGCUGGACGCCCGUCCACAUCCACGAUGACAACAUUGAACGUGCUCAUGAACUUAUGCUCUAUGGAAUAGACGAGUGACACUGGAUAAUGUGGCAAAUCAUUUGCAAAUCAGCCACGGCUCUGCUUAUGCAAUAGUGCACGACAGAUUUGGAUUUUAAAAAGUUUGUGCGAGAUGGAUGCCGAAAAAGCUGAUGAAAAGGUGAAGACGACGAUGCAUUCGUGGUUCGCAGCUCAGCCCAAAACAUUUUUUAAUGAGAAAAUAUAAAGGUCCUUCGGCAAAUGGACAAAGUGUAUACAGAAAUCGAGUGAUUAUGUCAAAAAAUGAUGUAUGUCUUUUUUGACAAUUGCUUAAAAUAAAUUCUACACCGACAGAGCGGGCUGUUAAUCUAGAGGCUGGAGUACAAAGAAGUGGCACAAUGAUGUGGGCUGAUGACAUUUAUAAUUAUCAAGGAAUCACCCCUACAUUCGCUCAGAAUUUUAAUGAAACUGUCCCUUGGGAAGGAAGAACUGAUACCUUGAUAUCACGGUUUGUACAUCCUAUAUAUACGACAAAUUUUAGAACAUUAUAUAACGAAGAACCAGAUCGUCGUGGCCAUGUGAUGUGAAUAAAAGGACUUGAAUUUGAUGAUAUUUUUAUAAUGUUAGAUAACAUAACUAAGUAUCUUCACAGUAAGAUAGGAUGACAUGGUUUACAUGAUCUUAAUGUUGUUCACUCGAGUGAUGAUAUUAUAAGGAAAAGUGUAAUAUCACAGGAUAUUUAUGUUUAGUAACCAGUAAUUCAGAGAUUGGUAUUCAUGGUUACUAUAACGAGGCUGUAGAAACGCACCCUUUCUUCUUUGCAAAUGGUCCUGUAUUUAUGUCUAAGCCGAAACUGGAACCUCUGAAUAAUUUAGAUUUAUUCUUGUUAUUUUCUAAAAUACUUAUCUACAGUAUACCAUAAGGAAUGAUACCGUAUCGCACCUAAUCAAGUGCCUUAAGAAACAUCAACAGGAUAUCACAGUAAUCCCUUAUCGACUGAUAUUUGUAGCCACUACAAUAUCUAUGACACUGGUAGUAAUUAUGAGAACAAUAAUGAUGUGUUCUAUAAGAGGAAAUGAUGAUUAGGAACAAAAACUUACAGGAGAUAUCAUGCGGUGGAUGGAUAAUAUGUAAAAAAUAUUAAGCAGCAUAUGAAUUUUCAUAUUGCGUAGAGAUAACAAAAUGAAUUUUAAAAAAUGUCGACACGAUUGAACAAUAUUCCAGAUUUAUUCAUAAUUUCAUACUACGCGAAGAAUAGACUUUCAUAGGUAUAUAAAGGAAAUAUUAAGUAUAGGAAAACUCUUUUUCGUUGUAGGUGACAUAUGCUUCACGGUUGAACACAUGUAUUUUUGAACACAUAUAAAUGAAGAAGUACUCUUAUGGAGAAAAAGAAUUGAUACCUUCGAUUGACAUUAGAUAAUGUAUAUAAACUUAUGAACAAUCACUAUCAGUUUGUAUUUUAGGUGCACACGCAGAUUUGUUGGAGUUCUUAUAAAAUGUACUUCCUGUACGAACGUUUUAUUCUUCCAAAUUUUACGAUACUAUGUCUCAUAUAAUAACUAUAUGGAUUAAACGUAAUAUAAAUGAUCCGAAAAUAGACUCGAACGACAUUAAUUGUCUUUCUAUUUAUACCAAUAUCGAUAAUACAAGUAAAGCUGGAGCAAUAGUAUGCAAGAAUGGACUAUUUAUUAUUUUAAACCAAAUCAUAGCAUAUUCAGAAUGCACAGUAUUAUCAUGAAAUGUAAAUGAAUCAGUUGUAAACGAACGAUUUUACUGUAAAAUCAUUGCCACCUUUUUUUCAUCUGAAAUAUAG